rnacentral:rRNA from 1 species
AAGUGGGGAUGACGUCAAAUCAUCAUGCCCCUUAUGACCUGGGCUACACACGUGCUACAAUGGUUGGUACAACGAGUUGCGAGUCGGUGACGGCGAGCUAAUCUCCUAAAGCCAAUCUCAGUUCGGAUUAUAGGCUGCAACUCGCCUACAUGAAGUCGGAAUCGCUAGUAAUCGCGGAUCAGCACGCCGCGGUGAAUACGUUCCCGGGCCUU